CCUAUACAAUGAUCAAACAUAUGGCAGCAGCUCAGACAGAAGACACCUAAUGGGGCAUGUCAGAGUCAGUCCAUGGAAGAAUGUUUGAGCUCUGUAGUGAUUGUGCUUCCCCCAUAAGAAACCCCAAAACACAGAAAUUUAAGAUAUGUCUACUUACACUAAAGAUCACCCAUAGUGGAAAAAUGGAAGUAUGCACUGUGAACUAAUACAGGAUAUGUUUUAUAUUGUAUUCACUAAAGAAAACUCUUUGAAAACAAUAUAUAAAACUAAUUAUAACAGAGAUAAAGAGAUUAGGGAGGAGUAAAAAAAAAGGACAAUAAAAAUGAAAGAAGAAAACUCA
rnacentral:lncRNA from 12 species